rnacentral:lncRNA from 1 species
UAAAAAAACGCCACCCGCUGAAUAACGAGUUCUCUGCUUUUGAGUAGCUUGAUGAGUCUUCGGUGAAUCAAAUAACAAGACAAGACACAGAUUCAGACUUAUUUUCCAAGCAGUCCUAUGAACAUAUUCUCUCUAGGACAGCAAUACUCAUUCCAAGAAUAAACACAAAUAGAGCUAACAAUUUCCCACAAAAGUAAGCAUGUUACAUACGAUGACAAUCUCUCCAAGACAACAGACCACAAUCACGGGAACAAACUGGCAGGUACAAGUUACACACAGUCACCCCCACACUAUUUUGUGUUGAGUUACCAUUCCAUUGCUGAAGAGGAGAGCAAUC